UUAAGCUUUUUCUUUUUAUUCACAGAAAGGGAACAUUAAAUGAUGUGACAAUUGAAACAGGCAAAAACCACAAGUUAUUUCCUCUUCAGGAAUUUUGCUUUAAUUAAAAAGAAGAAGAAGCUCAACCGAAGUCCCUACAUCUUCUUGAGCUAGGAACAGUUGAGUUGCAUAGAACCACAGCAUCAAUGACCAGCUUUACCUGGUGUGAAAUUGGUGAACUGCCCCUGGGGAACAGAGGUUAUCCACGUGGGCUGUAGGUUGUAAUCACCACGAAGCUUUUUAGAAUACCAGUGCCAGAGCCCUCCCCUGAAGGUUCUCUUUGCUCUGUCUGUCUUUACUGUGAGCUCUCAGCCUUCACAGAUCUGCUUCAGGCUUGUCAACCCUCUUGUUUCUUCCCUCUCAUCUCCUUUCUUUUCCAUCUGACACACUGCGCAUCAGGUGAAGCCUGUUCACAAGAUUGCCCUGUCGGCACAGCGCUUGAUGGACACAGCAGGUAGUGGGUCUGCCAUCUUGGUGGGCGUAGCAGGAGGCAAGUCUAUUGUCUGGAGCUGGGCAGUCACAGCAAUAAAUCAUUGCCUACUGUUGGUAGCAAUGGCUGGAAUUUGGGUGUUAUGGUCUGACCAUUUGGUGAGCUCUGCACUGGAUGAAUCAUUUGAAGAGAUCCAGUGUCUGUUGGGUGAGACAACAGAGAAGCUAGUUUGUUUGCCUGUUCAUCUAUUUGGGCUCAAAUCAAUCAAGACUGUUGUGUGCCACCAAGAAGGAUGCUGUCAGCAGGUCAGACUCUGUUCUUGGUCAGCUGUAAGAGUUCCAAUGUAAUCAUCUAGGACUUCAGAGGAACAAAAAAGCAUCCAAGCACCCAACAGUGUUUUUGCCAGAAAAUCCUUCAUCCUUGUGACAAUGUAUAAUUCUGGUUCAUGCUAGGUUCACAAACUUCUUUAUUUCUGUAUCCUUCUUUGGCUACUCUUUGUCUAUGACCCAUAACUGUUGAUACCCCGAAGCCUUACUGCUUGGAUCCUGCUUUCCUCUUCAAUAACUUUGGGUAAGUUCAGCCACUUGGGGUUUGGUCUACAGACUAUGCAAAUCUUAUCUCUGGUUCAGUGGGGGAUACACU
rnacentral:lncRNA from 1 species